rnacentral:lncRNA from 7 species
GGGAACGAUGUGAAAUACACCCUGCAAACCUCUCGUCCUGCAGUUGCUCUGUGGUUUGAGAAGGGGACGCAGCUCAUGCUCAGCUACUUGUUGCAGAGCCUCUGCGUCUUCUGGAAACAUUCCCAGUCCUUGGCGUAUUCAUCAGGAUCGUUACAAUUCUGCUGCCACAAAGAGGUGUUUCGAAGUUUCUUAAUGUUAAAAAGGAAGAGGAAAGAAGCUGUUUGCAGAGGUGCAUCCACUCUCUUCCACUCUUGCUAUGCUCGGUGAUCAAAUGGGAGCGGUCUUUCUCAUGUUUCUGCUCCUCAUUUGCCUCCUGCAUGUAAGAUUAUAACAACAUCUGCUCCGAACCUCUGUAGGCAUCUACACAAAGUAUUCCCCCUCCGGUCCUCCCAGAGCACACACCCGAUGGAAGGAGAAAAAAAUGCCCUUUCCUACAACUCCAGCCAGCCCGUCCUGCUUGGACCAUCCACGCUGUUCUGCCACCCUUGGAAUUCUCCCAUCGUAGGUGGUGUGUUGUCUGCCUGGGAGCUCCUGCAGCCCUGCCUGCGUGGAGGAACAAGGAUGUGAUAAUACCGGGCCCUGGAGCUGCAAAUGCAGAACGAACCAAGGAGUAAAAGAAUUGACAAGACAAGCAGUGGUGGGAAAUGGAGGGAAGACUGUGAAAAAGGUUAUAAUAAAUAAUAAGAAAUG